CCAAGUUAGACCAGAUCCCGAUAAGAUCCAAACCCAUCUGCAUGUUUCAUUCUUUGUUAGAUCGGUUCAAAACGGGUCUUGAAAGGAUCAUAUAUGUUGAUUCCGUGAACACAAGUGUUCUGUUGAAGGUACGGCUAGGGUUCUAGGGAGCAGUGCCGGCAAGGAGAGCCAGGUGAAGAUCCGGUAAGUAGAUUGAAGUAUGUACAGGAGUUCUUCAAGUGAAUCGUUAACUCUCUAGGCCGACUGUACAUAUUAGGUAAGCCACGAACUACUUCCGGGCACAUAUGUGAAUUCCGGUUAUGUAAUCAGGUUUAAAUGUGUGGAAACGGUGACGAGGAGUAGGGCACCGUUGGAAUUAGGGGCUGUUUAUGUCAAAUCGGUGACAGGUUGUGAAAUUCUGGUUACACCCGUUUGGAACACCGACAGAGGUGUAGUGUUCACAGUUCUGAGGUAAAGCAUGGUGAUUUGGCUUGGUGAAGAUUUGAAGUUGUUGAGGUCGUUUUCGGUAAUGGGUGAUGGGAGUCAAGAAUAGGUCUCAACUGACUUGACUCGGUCAACACAGAAACUGAGGUUUGGGUUGAAGAUGAUUGAGAAACAAGGAUAUGGAAAUAGAUGAGGGCUUGGAUGAUGAUCAGGCCAUCAAUCCAAAUUGCAAAUGGUCAACGGGUCGAGUCUGAUACAAUUAACACGUGUAAGUUUUAGCAUUAUGGAUGUGGGUCUGAUAAAAUUAACAUGAGUGAGGUAUAUCGCGAACCUGAACUAUUUGAAUAUACAAUUAAUUUUGAAUCUUUGAUUAUAUAGUGAUGUUU